UGAGUUAAUUGAGCCCGAAAACAUUAAAAGGGCGAAGUAUGAAUGGGAUAAUUGGCCACAGGACGAGGUGGACCACUAUAGAGUAGAAUAUGCUUCGCGGAUACUAUUCAGUGAAAUGAAUAAAGAGAGAGAUCAAGCAAUUAGAGCGAGUAAUGCAAUAAGACUGUCCAAACCAUCCUCAGUAUUAUUGAGUCCAUUUUGUCAGAUAAAUUCUACUGAUAUAGAAACUGAGUAAUCUAACUGCUAGCUAGUUUGUAAAUUGAACAAAUGUUGUAAAAAUUUGCCAUUUAUAAACAACUUCUAUUCAAUGAAAUUUUUUUCCAUAGUUAAA